rnacentral:rRNA from 1 species
GAGUUUGAUCAUGGCUCAGAUUGAACGCUGGCGGCAUGCCUUACACAUGCAAGUCGAACGGCAGCACGGGAGCUUGCUCCUGGUGGCGAGUGGCGAACGGGUGAGUAAUGCAUCGGAACGUAUCCUGGAGUGGGGGAUAACGUAGCGAAAGUUACGCUAAUACCGCAUAUUCUGUGAGCAGGAAAGCGGGGGACCUUCGGGCCUCGCGCUCUUGGAGCGGCCGAAUGUCGGAUUAGCUAGUUGGUGAGGUAAAGGCUCACCAAGGCGACGAUCCGUAGCAGGUCUGAGAGGAUGAUCUGCCACACUGGAACUGAGACACGGUCCAGACUCCUACGGGAGGCAGCAGUGGGAAUUUUGGACAAUGGGGGCAACCCUGAUCCAGCCAUGCCGCGUGAGUGAAGAAGGCCU